rnacentral:rRNA from 1 species
CCUACGGGUGGCAGCAGUGAGGAAUAUUGGACAAUGGAGGCAACUCUGAUCCAGCCAUGCCGCGUGCAGGAAGACUGCCCUAUGGGUUGUAAACUGCUUUUAUACAGGAAGAAACAGUCCCUCGUGAGGGACCUUGACGGUACUGUAAGAAUAAGCACCGGCUAACUCCGUGCCAGCAGCCGCGGUAAUACGGAGGGUGCAAGCGUUAUCCGGAAUCAUUGGGUUUAAAGGGUCCGUAGGCGGAUAAUUAAGUCAGAGGUGAAAGUUUGCAGCUCAACUGUAAAAUUGCCUUUGAUACUGGUUGUCUUGAAUUAUUGUGAAGUGGUUAGAAUAAGUAGUGUAGCGGUGAAAUGCAUAGAUAUUACUUAGAAUACCAAUUGCGAAGGCAGAUCACUAACAAUAUAUUGACGCUGAGGGACGAAAGCGUGGGGAGCGAACAG